rnacentral:rRNA from 1 species
AUUGAACGCUGGCGGCAGGCCUAACACAUGCAAGUCGAGCGGAUGAAGGGAGCUUGCUCCUGGAUUCAGCGGCGGACGGGUGAGUAAUGCCUAGGAAUCUGCCUAGUAGUGGGGGAUAACGUCCGGAAACGGGCGCUAAUACCGCAUACGUCCUGAGGGAGAAAGUGGGGGAUCUUCGGACCUCACGCUAUCAGAUGAGCCUAGGUCGGAUUAGCUAGUUGGUGGGGUAAAGGCCCACCAAGGCGACGAUCCGUAACUGGUCUGAGAGGAUGAUCAGUCACACUGGAACUGAGACACGGUCCAGACUCCUACGGGAGGCAGCAGUGGGGAAUAUUGGACAAUGGGCGAAAGCCUGAUCCAGCCAUGCCGCGUGUGUGAAGAAGGUCUUCGGAUUGUAAAGCACUUUAAGUUGGGAGGAAGGGCAGUAAGUUAAUACCUUGCUGUUUUGACGGUACCAACAGAAUAAGCACCGGCUAACUUCGUG